rnacentral:misc_RNA from 1 species
GAUGAAGAACGCAGUGAAAUGCGAUACGUAAUGUGAAUUGCAGAAUUCAGUGAAUCAUCGAGUCUUUGAACGCACAUUGCGCCCCCUGGUAUUCCGGGGGGCAUGCCUCUCCGAGCGUCAUUGCUGCCCUCAAGCACGGCUUGUGUGUUGGGCCUCCGUCCUCCUCCCGGGGGACGGGCCCGAAAGGCAGCGGCGGCACCGCGUCCGGUCCUCGAGCGUAUGGGGCUUCGUCACCCGCUCUUGUAGGCCCGGCCGGCGCUUGCCGACACAUCAAUCUUUUUUCCAGGUUGACCUCGGAUCAGGUAGGGAUACCCGCUGAACUUAAGCAUAUCAAUAAGCGGAGGA